rnacentral:rRNA from 1 species
AUUGGACGCUGGCGGCAGGCCUAACACAUGCAAGUCGAGCGGAUGAGGGAAGCUUGCUUCCCGAUUUAGCGGCAGACGGGUGAGUAAUGCCUAGGAAUCUGCCUAUUAGUGGGGGAUAACGUUCCGAAAGGAACGCUAAUACCGCAUACGUCCUACGGGAGAAAGUGGGGGAUCUUCGGACCUCACGCUAAUAGAUGAGCCUAGGUCGGAUUAGCUAGUUGGUGGGGUAACGGCUCACCAAGGCGACGAUCCGUAGCUGGUCUGAGAGGAUGAUCAGCCACACUGGAACUGAGACACGGUCCAGACUCCUACGGGAGGCAGCAGUGGGGAAUAUUGGACAAUGGGCGAAAGCCUGAUCCAGCCAUGCCGCGUGUGUGAAGAAGGUCUUCGGAUUGUAAAGCACUUUAAGUUGGGAGGAAGGGUUGUAAGCUAAUAUCUUGCAGCUUUGACGUUACCAACAGAAUAAGCACCGGCUAACUCUGUGCCAGCCGCCGCGGUAACAC